GCGGCCUUAGCUCACUUGGGAGAGCGCCAGACUGAAGUCAACUUUGGAGGAAGAUUAUCUGGAGGCACUGUGUUCGAUCCACAGAGGCCGCA
rnacentral:tRNA from 2 species